GUAUGUCUGUGUGUGUGUGUAUGUGUCAGUAUGUCUGUGUGUGUGUGUAUGUCAGUAUGUCUGUCAUAGACACACACAGACAUACUGACAUACAUACACAAACAGACAU